CUGCUCCAGCAUCCAGAAGAAGUCUCGUCAUGUCCUUCCGACCGUGAGAAACUGCUAGCAUUAGGGCCGUUUGUCCGUGCUAAUGGGCAGAAAAAAGACGUGAUACUUUUAUAGAAACCAAUAGGAUUCAAUUUUCAACUUAGGAUUUGCGACACUUCCGCGAGAAGGAGGUUCAUUGGAGUAAAGACAAAAAUCGAAAAUACCCUUCGCCAGGAAAAUAGGAUGAUUCGAUUCUGAUAAUUUCCGUUCCAUUGGAGAUACGACAGUUGAACUGUUGCUGCUGAAGCAUCGAUCGAGUUCUAACGAUCGGUAGAGAGCGCGAUAAAGGAAGCGGUCUUUUACUGACGAGCAGUAACGUUUGACUGUGUGACUCGAGGCCGGCAAAGCUACCGAGCGACUUCAUCGAGGUGAACCAUCGCGAUGAGGGGGGGGCCUCAAGAGAUGCCCUCUUGCUUCAACAAAGUUUCUGUUGCAGAAAUCGAGGCCCGGAGUCGUUAAAGUUGAAAUGUUUACCGAGUUUUGGUAAUUUUGAAAAAAGUUCUCUGCUCAGGACGUUUCUAGCAUAGUGUCAGUUGUAAAUGCAUUCAUACGUGCUGGAGAGACAGGUGGAGCGUUAACGAAAGCACCAUAUGUGGCGAUCACUGGUCUCGGCAAGGUUGCUCCAAAAAUCGCCGCGAUCCUCGUCGAUCUCUAUAUUGUU